ACACUCCUACGGGAGGCAGCAGUGGGGAAUUUUGGACAAUGGGCGAAAGCCUGAUCCAGCAAUGCCGCGUGUGUGAAGAAGGCCUUCGGGUUGUAAAGCACUUUUGUCCGGAAAGAAAUCCUUGGCUCUAAUACAGUCGGGGGAUGACGGUACCGGAAGAAUAAGCACCGGCUAACUACGUGCCAGCAGCCGCGGUAAUACGUAGGGUGCGAGCGUUAAUCGGAAUUACUGGGCGUAAAGCGUGCGCAGGCGGUUUGCUAAGACCGAUGUGAAAUCCCCGGGCUCAACCUGGGAACUGCAUUGGUUACUGGCAGGCUAGAGUAUGGCAGAGGGGGGUAGAAUUCCACGUGUAGCAGUGAAAUGCGUAGAGAUGUGGAGGAAUACCGAUGGCGAAGGCAGCCCCCUGGGCCAAUACUGACGCUCAUGCACGAAAGCGUGGGGAGCAAACAGGAUUAGAUACCCCUGUAGUCCCAU
rnacentral:rRNA from 1 species